ACGCUGGCGGCAGGCCUAACACAUGCAAGUCGAGCGGCAGCACGGGUACUUGUACCUGGUGGCGAGCGGCGGACGGGUGAGUAAUGCCUAGGAAUCUGCCUGGUAGUGGGGGAUAACGUUCGGAAACGGACGCUAAUACCGCAUACGUCCUACGGGAGAAAGUGGGGGAUCUUCGGACCUCACGCUAUCAGAUGAGCCUAGGUCGGAUUAGCUAGUUGGUGAGGUAAUGGCUCACCAAGGCGACGAUCCGUAACUGGUCUGAGAGGAUGAUCAGUCACACUGGAACUGAGACACGGUCCAGACUCCUACGGGAGGCAGCAGUGGGGAAUAUUGGACAAUGGGCGAAAGCCUGAUCCAGCCAUGCCGUGUGUGUGAAGAAGGUCUUCGGAUUGUAAAGCACUUUAAGUUGGGAGGAAGGGUUGUAGAUUAAUACUCUGCAAUUUUGACGUUACCGACAGAAUAAGCACCGGCUAACUCUGUGCCAGCAGCCGCGGUAAUACAGAGGGUGCAAGCGUUAAUCGGAAUUACUGGGCGUAAAGCGCGCGUAGGUGGUUUGUUAAGUUGAAUGUGAAAUCCCCGGGCUCACCUGGGAACUGCAUCCAAAACUGGCAAGCUAGAGUAUGGUAGAGGGUGGUGGAAUUUCCUGUGUAGCGGUGAAAUGCGU
rnacentral:rRNA from 1 species